rnacentral:rRNA from 1 species
UACGAAGGGGGCUAGCGUUGCUCGGAAUUACUGGGCGUAAAGCGCACGUAGGCGGCUUUCUAAGUCGGGGGUGGAAUCCUGGAGCUCAACUCCAGAACUGCCUUCGAUACUGGAGAGCUCGAGUCCGGGAGAGGUGAGUGGAACUGCGAGUGUAGAGGUGAAAUUCGUAGAUAUUCGCAAGAACACCAGUGGCGAAGGCGGCUCACUGGCCCGGUACUGACGCUGAGGUGCGAAAGCGUGGGGAGCAAACAGG